rnacentral:tRNA from 1 species
CCUCUCGUAGCUUAGUUGGUCAGAGCAUUGGUGCGUAAAGCCAAAGGCCCCGGGUUCGAUUCCCGGCGGAGGU